rnacentral:rRNA from 1 species
AGUGAACGCUGGCGGUAGGCCUAACACAUGCAAGUCGAACGGCAGCACAGUAAGAGCUGGCUCUUACGGGUGGCGAGUGGCGGACGGGUGAGGAAUACAUCGGAAUCUACUUUUUCGUGGGGGAUAACGUAGGGAAACUUACGCUAAUACCGCAUACGACCUACGGGUGAAAGCAGGGGAUCUUCGGACCUUGCGCGAUUGAAUGAGCGGAUGUCGGAUUAGCUAGUUGGCGGGGUAAAGGCCCACCAAGGCGACGAUCCGUAGCUGGUCUGAGAGGAUGAUCAGCCACACUGGAACUGAGACACGGUCCAGACUCCUACGGGAGGCAGCAGUGGGGAAUAUUGGACAAUGGGCGCAAGCCUGAUCCAGCCAUACCGCGUGGGUGAAGAAGGCCUUCGGGUUGUAAAGCCCUUUUGUUGGGAAAGAAAAGCAGCAGGUUAAUACCCCGCUGUUCUGACGGUACCCAAAGAAUAAGCACCGGCUAACUUCGUG